UACGUAGGCAGCGAGCGUUGUUCGGAGUUACUGGGCGUAAAGCGUGCGUAGGCGGUGUCUUAAGUUUGUUGUGAAAUCUCCCGGCUUAACCGGGAGGGUGCGGCGAAUACUGAGAUGCUGGAGUGCGGGAGAGGUAAGCGGAAUUCCUGGUGUAGCGGUGAAAUGCGCAGAUAUCAGGAGGAACACCGGUGGCGAAGGCGGGUCUCUGGGCAACUACUGACGCUGAGGAGCGAAAGCGUGGGGAGCGAACAGG
rnacentral:rRNA from 1 species